rnacentral:tRNA from 1 species
GAAUCCGUCGACUUUAAAAAUCGUGAGGGUUCAAGUCCCUCUAUCCCCA